rnacentral:tRNA from 1 species
GCCUAGUUAGCUUGGUUGGUAGCGCGUCUGCCUUGUAAGCGCUAGGCCGCGGGUUCGAUUCCUGCCUGGGGCA